CAAAGACCCCCCUCUCAGUUUGGCAUGGACUAUACAGAAGGACACCGAAUUCACAACGAGCAACAAUGUGUUUGUAGGCAUAAUUUAAAGAGGUGUGCGACAAAACUGCCUACCACGCAGCCAUAACUGAACACGACAUGCAGCUCAUCAAACAAUCCAAGGCCCUGUACACUGAAACACCUGAAGACGAGAACGGCCUAGAGUAUGCGACUCUCUAGUUCAUCGAACACACAAAAACCACAAGGACCCGCAGGAGAAGAACAGGGAGAGUGGACGGGGAUGUUUGAACUCCCGGGUGAUUCCCUCUGCCCGGUAGCUUCCCUUAAGAAGUAUCUGUCCUUCCUUCCCUCCGACGCCUCGGCGUUGUACCUCCACCUGAAACGGAAUGCAGUUAAUGGAUACAUAUGGUACACAAAAGGGCCGAUUGGAGAGUACACCCUUGCAACAAUGUUGCCAAAUAUCAGCAAAAUAGCUGGGACGUCGCUGAUUUAGACAAACCAGUAACUCCGGACCACCAUGAUCCAGAAACUGUCGGAUGCCGGACUAGAGGGACGAGAAAUAAUGUCUGUCAGUGGACACAGAUCCAAAACGUCUCUUCAAAGUUACUGGAGGCCAAAUCUGAAAUCAAAGAAGCGGUGGAGCACUAUUCUAUCUGACAAUACAGCAGCAGCAGCAGCUACCCCAGCUAAAAUAAUGGCUUCCAUUUCCAACUAACGACAACAUGGGCAAGUGCACAAUAAAUGGCAACAUUCAAAUCAACAUGAAUAAAUAAUUGGUGUGUGUUAGUCACUGUUGAAGUGACGCUAAUGCUAGGUUUUUGAAUACAUUUAAUGUAGCUUGCCUGUGGUUAUGCUGCAUAGCAACCAGUCUAGCAACACGACUUUUGUCCGGACUGCUCUUUACAUUUUUUACAUUUUUUUACAUUUUAGUCAUUUAGCAGACGCUCUUUCUGGCAGAAUGUAUUCAUGAAUUUAUUUAUUA